rnacentral:tRNA from 1 species
CAGUAGUAGUCCAGUCUGGCUAAGACACUGGCUUGCCAAGCCAGGAACCCGGGUUCAAAUAACUAACCUUUUUA